rnacentral:rRNA from 1 species
AUUGAACGCUGGCGGCAUGCUUUACACAUGCAAGUCGAAGGUAACAGGCCUUCGGGUGCUGACGAGUGGCGAACGGGUGAGUAAUGCAUCGGAACGUACCCAGAGGUGGGGAAUAACGCAGCGAAAGCUGUGCUAAUACCGCAUGUGAUCUGAGGAUGAAAGCGGGGGACCGAGCAGCAAUGUUUGGCCUCGCGCCUUUGGAGCGGCCGAUGUCGGAUUAGCUAGUUGGUGGGGUAAAGGCCUACCAAGGCGACGAUCCGUAGCUGGUCUGAGAGGACGACAAGCCACACUGGGACUGAGACACGGCCCAGACUCCUACGGGAGGCAGCAGUGGGGAAUUUUGGACAAUGGGCGCAAGCCUGAUCCAGCAAUGCCGCGUGCGGGAAGAAGGCCUUCGGGUUGUAAACCGCUUUUGGCAGGAACGAAACGGUGUCCGCUAAUACCGGGCGCUAAUGACGGUACCUGCAGAAUAAGCACCGGCUAACUACGUG